UACGUAGGGUGCAAGCGUUAAUCGGAAUUACUGGGCGUAAAGCGCGUGUAGGCGGACCCGCAAGUCGGACGUGAAAUCCCUGAGCUCAACUCAGGAACUGCAUCCGAAACUGCGGGUCUGGAGUGGUGGAGAGGGAAGCAGAAUUCCUGGUGUAGAGGUGAAAUUCGUAGAUAUCAGGAGGAACACCGGUGGCGAAGGCGGCUUCCUGGACACUUACUGACGCUGAGACGCGAAAGCGUGGGGAGCAAACAGG
rnacentral:rRNA from 1 species